AUUGAACGCUGGCGGAAUGCUUUACACAUGCAAGUCGAACGGUAGAGGGGGCAACCCCUCGAGAGUGGCGAACGGGUGAGUAAUAUAUCGGAACGUGCCCAGUCGUGGGGGAUAACGUAGCGAAAGUUACGCUAAUACCGCAUACGAUCUAAGGAUGAAAGCGGGGGAUCGCAAGACCUCGCGCGAUUGGAGCGGCCGAUAUCGGAUUAGGUAGUUGGUGGGGUAAAGGCUCACCAAGCCAACGAUCUGUAGCUGGUCUGAGAGGACGACCAGCCACACUGGAACUGAGACACGGUCCAGACUCCUACGGGAGGCAGCAGUGGGGAAUUUUGGACAAUGGACGCAAGUCUGAUCCAGCCAUUCCGCGUUCAGGAUGAAGGCCCUCGGGUUGUAAACUGCUUUUGUACGGAACGAAAAGGUCUCUCUUAAUACGGGGGGCUCAUGACGGUACCGUAAGAAUAAGCACCGGCUAACUACGUGCCAGCAGCCGCCGUAA
rnacentral:rRNA from 1 species